ACGCUCACUUUAAUAGCAUAUAUGCUAAAAGCAGAAUGAUUCAAAAUUAGACAUGGGCUCUGAGCAAGGACGACAUGCAAACUUGUGAAGCAUUCCCUAUUUUU
rnacentral:snRNA from 1 species